UCCCAGUGCUACCAUUCCAUUUUGGAAGCUUCUCCACGGCCCCAGGUCAAUGCAGAGCUCUCCUGGGGGUCAGUGCCUGGCAGCACAGAAAAUCUGGAAUUCUCAGCAUCCAGGGUUCCAACAAAGAGUGCUGCAGUUUCGGGUUCAGCUCUGCAGCUUCACAUCUCUUACCUGCAAUAUCGAAACAAACCCCACCUUUCACCUUCACUGGGAGGUUGGAAAGGCUCUCAGUGGCCAGCUUUAAGGUGUGAGAACCAGAGGGGACUGGCUGUCACAGUGGGUGACAAUUCUCCUGAAUUUCCCAGAGAUAAAGAAAACAAGCACAGCAGAAACAAAAUAAAUUAAUAAAGUGAAUGAGGGUAUGAAAAUGGAAAUUACUUCAUCAAACUGCUGCAUAAAUGCAAACUGUCUGCAACAAUUGACAAGCAAAGAAAAUGAAAGAAGCUGGUCAUGAGAAAUGACAUCUGACACCAUUAUUUCUGAGGAAUGGAUCAAAUCAGAGUGUGACAAAAUAAAUAAAGUAAAUAAGGCAAAGCUGGAUGUGGCCCUGAGCAACCUGGUCCAGUGGAAGGUGUCCCUGCCCAUGGCAGGGGGUGGAACAAGGUCUUUAAGGUCCCCUCCAUCCCAAACCAGUCUGGGAUACUGACAACAAACCCAGGUGUUUUCUGCAUCAAAACUGAAACAGGAAGAAGCAGCAAACUUAAUUUUU